UGAUGACCUAAAUCUAAAGAAGAAGAAGCAGACGAGAGGAAUGAGAUUAAUAAAAAUAAGAAAAAGAUACAAAAAGGAGAGCACGGGUUUAGGCACCAACCCAUGUGCUGACGUGGGAGUUAUCCGGUUCGUGGGCACCCAGAAGUUGCCAACAUGGAAACCGCCGAAAGGCACGUCACCCCGUGCGAAAGCAACGGGUUUCCAUAACCGGUCAAGUUGGGUGAUCCGCGAUAGAAUCUUACGAGAUUCCCCAGAAGGUCAUGCACUCGCUAAGAUUCCAUGCACAUGAAAUAACAGGUCACCGGGAAUCCUGCUCUAUGUUAUCCCAAAUCCUAGGUUUCUGUUCUCACAGCACCCUACGGCUUGUCAAUGUUUGACGUGGCAUUGCUGACGUGUAUAAAAUUCGACAGCCAUUCAUCAGAAUUGGG
rnacentral:lncRNA from 1 species